rnacentral:rRNA from 1 species
GAUGAACGCUGGCGGCGUGCCUAAUACAUGCAAGUCGAGCGAACGGACGAGAAGCUUGCUUCUCUGAUGUUAGCGGCGGACGGGUGAGUAACACGUGGAUAACCUACCUAUAAGACCGGGAUAACUUCGGGAAACCGGAGCUAAUACCGGAUAAUAUUUUGAACCGCAUGGUUCAAAAGUGAAAGACGGUCUUGCUGUCACUUAUAGAUGGAUCCGCGCUGCAUUAGCUAGUUGGUAAGGUAACGGCUUACCAAGGCAACGAUGCAUAGCCGACCUGAGAGGGUGAUCGGCCACACUGGAACUGAGACACGGUCCAGACUCCUACGGGAGGCAGCAGUAGGGAAUCUUCCGCAAUGGGCGAAAGCCUGACGGAGCAACGCCGCGUGAGUGAUGAAGGUCUUCGGAUCGUAAAACUCUGUUAUUAGGGAAGAACAUAUGUGUAAGUAACUGUGCACAUCUUGACGGUACCUAAUCAGAAAGCCACGGCUAACUACGUGCCAGCGGCCGCGGUAAUACGUAGGUGGCAAGCGUUAUCCGGAAUUAUUGGGCGUAAAGCGCGCGUAGGCGGUUUUUUAAGUCUGAUGUGAAAGCCCACGGCUCAGCCGUGGAGGGUCAUUGGAAACUGGAAAACUUGAGUGCAGAAGAGGAAAGUGGAAUUCCAUGUGUAGCGGUGAAAUGCGCAGAGAUAUGGAGGAACACCAGUGGCGAAGGCGACUUUCUGGUCUGUAACUGACGCUGAUGUGCGAAAGCGUGGGGAUCAAACAGGAUUAGAUACCCUGGUAGUCCACGCCGUAAACGAUGAGUGCUAAGUGUUAGGGGGUUUCCGCCCCUUAGUGCUGCAGCUAACGCAUUAAGCACUCCGCCUGGGGAGUACGACCGCAAGGUUGAAACUCAAAGGAAUUGACGGGGACCCGCACAAGCGGUGGUGCAUGUGGUUUAAUUCGAAGCAACGCGAAGAACCUUACCAAAUCUUGACAUCCUUUGACAACUCUAGAGAUAGAGCCUUCCCCUUCGGGGGACAAAGUGACAGGUGGUGCAUGGUUGUCGUCAGCUCGUGUCGUGAGAUGUUGGGUUAAGUCCCGCAACGAGCGCAACCCUUAAGCUUAGUUGCCAUCAUUAAGUUGGGCACUCUAAGUUGACUGCCGGUGACAAACCGGAGGAGGGUGGGGAUGACGUCAAAUCAUCAUGCCCCUUAUGAUUUGGGCUACACACGUGCUACAAUGGACAAUACAAAGGGCAGCGAAACCGCGAGGUCAAGCAAAUCCCAUAAAGUUGUUCUCAGUUCGGAUUGUAGUCUGCAACUCGACUACAUGAAGCUGGAAUCGCUAGUAAUCGUAGAUCAGCAUGCUACGGUGAAUACGUUCCCGGGUCU